rnacentral:tRNA from 1 species
AUUGAAGUGCCUGACAUAAAGGGACAUCUUGAUGUGAUGUGUAAUGGAGUAAUCCCUUCAAUU